rnacentral:rRNA from 1 species
CACGUAGGGUGCGAGCGUUGUCCGGAAUUAUUGGGCGUAAAGAGCUCGUAGGCGGUGUGUCGCGUCGGCCGUGAAAACCUGCAGCUUAACUGUGGGCUUGCGGUCGAUACGGGCAUCACUGGAGUUCGGCAGGGGAGACUGGAAUUCCUGGUGUAGCGGUGAAAUGCGCAGAUAUCAGGAGGAACACCGGUGGCGAAGGCGGGUCUCUGGGCCUUACCUGACGCUCAGGCGCGAAAGCUAGGGGAGCGAACAGG